AGCUUCAGUAGCGUAUAUUAAAGUUGUUGCAGUUAAAAAGCUCGUAGUCGCAUUUCUGGCGAGAGGAUCCGGUCCGACCUUUUGGUGGGUUCUUGGGUCUCUUUCGCCAUCCUUGCGUGGUCCGUUCUGGCAUUAGUUUGUCGGAGCGUCAGCCGCUCAUCGUUUACUGUGAGAAAAUUAGAGUGUUCAAAGCAGGCUUAUGCCGUUGAAUAUAUUAGCAUGGAAUAAUAAGAUAGGACCUAGGUAAUAUUUUGUUGGUUUGAGAACCAAGGUAAUGAUGAACAGGGACAGUUGGGGGUAUUUGUAUUUCGUUGUCAGAGGUGAAAUUCUUAGAUUUACGAAAGACAAACUACUGCGAAAGCAUUUACCAAGGAUGUUUUCA
rnacentral:rRNA from 1 species